UACGAACCGUACAAACGUUAUUCGGAAUUACUGGGCUUAAAGGGUGCGUAGGCGGUCAAGUAAGUGAGGUGUGAAAUCCCUCGGCUCAACCGAGGAACUGCGCUUCAUACUGCUUGGCUUGAGGGAGACAGGGGUAAGCGGAACUGAUGGUGGAGCGGUGAAAUGCGUUGAUAUCAUCAGGAACACCGGUGGCGAAAGCGGCUUACUGGGUCUCUUCUGACGCUGAGGUACGAAAGCUAGGGGAGCGAACGGG
rnacentral:rRNA from 1 species